UGAGGAAUUUUGCGCAAUGGGAGCAAUCCUGACGCAGCAACGCCGCGUGGGUGAGGAAGGCCUUCGGGUCGUAAAGCCCUGUCAGGUGGGAAGAAGGGUCCUAUCAGGAAAGGGGUGGGAUUUGACGGUACCACCAGAGGAAGCACCGGCUAACUCCGUGCCAGCAGCCGCGGUAAUACGGAGGGUGCGAGCGUUAUCCGGAAUUACUGGGCGUAAAGCGCCUGUAGGCGGGGGAGCAAGUCUGAUGUGAAAGCCGCGGGCUUAACCCGUGAAGUGCAUUGGAAACUGUUAUUCGUGGGUAGUGGAGAGGAAUGUGGAAUUCCCGGUUUAGAGGGGAAAUUCGUAGAGAUCGGUAGGAAUACCAGUGGCGAAGGCGCCCUUCCGGACGGUUACUGACGCUGAGACGCGAAAGCGUGGG
rnacentral:rRNA from 1 species